rfam:Aedes albopictus isolate Foshan contig2999, whole genome shotgun sequence.
UGCCCAGCAACUCCUAUCCCUACCUCCUCGUGGUACCGGCCGGAAACUAUGAGCAACCUUAGGGAAGAUCGGGUAACCAACCCCGGGGAACUUUGGUCGUAGACUGACAGGGAAGG